GCGGGGCCCGCCCCAAAGCCUCUUAAGCUCCGCCGGAGGCUGCCGGGAGCCACGGAGGAGUUUCUGCGGUUGUGGAUAGGCGACGGCGGGGGUUCUGUUUCUUUGUCGGGCCCUGACGCUGCUGAGGCUGAGAAGCGGUACGCGGGGUUUUUUGGGGGGGACGGAGCCUUCAGGUUCUCUUUAAUGUUUUCGUGGUGUCGUUUUGUUUCAGGCUGCUGUGAGCCCUUUUGCGGUAAGGACCAGCCCAAACAGGCUGAGCGAGGGCUGCAGCAGAGGCUCUCAUCGGCCCGAAGCGGUGAGCUCGUGGAAGCGGUGAGUGUUCGAGAGUCGCUCGGUAAGAUCUCUCGUGCUGGGGCUCCUGUAGGGUUGCUGCUCGACUGCCUCUGUCUUUGGGAUCGGCACGGCGCCGCCGCUGGGCUCCCGUGUGGCUUUUUUAGUAGGACCGGCACGGGGCCUCCGCCCGAGACCGAGCACGAUCCCGGGGUGGCCUCGGCCACUGCGGAGUGUUUUGCGGGUGCUCUCACCCAUCCCGUUUCCAGCAGUGGGAGCGAGCAGGUUGGGACCGUGGUUUUAUUUUUUUUUUUCCCCCUCCUCUUCCUUCCCGUGUAACUGCAGGAGCACGAUUUAGGUUCCCAUCGUGGAGACCUGGCAGGGCAGCUCGCACGACUGGAGUGCUGUCGUGGAUGGCUCUGUUCCUUUUAGGAAAGACAGACCGGUCAGGCGGUGGAGUCUCUCUUCGAGGGAGAGAACGGGAACGUAUCGAGCUCCACCUAGGGGUGAAUGAAGAACCAGCGGAGCGUUUGUGCGUGAGGCUGAAGAGGCAGCUGGAAAUGGUGCCCACAGCUGUGAGGCCAGUUCUCAUGGUAGGCUCCAGGAGUUUCCUGCAAUGUGUCAAAGGUAAGAUCUUCUGACACAGGUGAUGAAGGAGGCAUUGAGGAGAGGGGCUGCUGGAGCUCCCUAUUGCAGAAGAGCCAUUUGGGGACAGGAAGGCCAGGGGCAGCCUGGAGCGUGCCAGUCGUGAGACCACAGCGUUUGGGAUCUUGUGUGGAAGCUGCAAAGCAAUGAGUAGGAUUGAAACACUGGACUUAGAGGGAGCCAAGUUUGUCCUCUUGAAGGGCCUACUUGGAGGUAACCCUUGCUCAAGCAUAGGAAGGGGUCCUGUGAAUGCUGGAGCAUUACUUCGUCCAUGCUGAGGUGCGCUGUGUCCCAAGGAGGAAGGAACUGCGCAGGAAUGGUGGGGGACCUGCAGGGCUGACUGAGGAACUUGAAGGGGAGAAGGAAGAGAGAGGCUGAGGAAGGCCAAGUCCCUCUGAGUAUCAGCUUUGGGAGGGAGGUCAAGGCUAAUGGAAGUUUGUCAACAGGAGAGACUGGAGAAAUUGCAGGCCUGCGCUUUACAAGGCGGAGGCCUCUUGGGUUCAGUGGUUUCUGCUGAGAGUGCUCCUGGGGAACCUGGGGUCCUGGAGGAGAGAGUCCCUGAGGAAGGAUGUCUUCCCCUCAGUUGCGGAGGAGCUGGUCAAAGGUAGUUCAGGCAGAAAGGAGGCCAGCAAAUGCCUGAGCUGUAGAGGGCUAUGUCUGUGCCCGCUGAGAGCUGGCAGCGGUGACUGGCAAUAGCUCUGUCACUUUUCCCUGCUGUUUCCUGUGGGAAAGGUACCUGAAGACUGGAGGAUGGCGGAUGCCACCGCAGCCUUCAGAAAGGGUGUGGAGGAUGGCGUGUGCAACUUGGAGGUAGGUUGGCCUCAUGUCUGUUCCUGGGGAGGUGACGCAACAGCUUGUUGCAGGUGUCAUUGCCAUGUGACCGGAGGAGAAGGAAUUUGCAAGGAGCAGUCCAGGUGGAUGGACAGAGGAGAAGUCAUGCUGGACCAAAAGGGUGAAGGCUGCAGAGAGGAUUGGCUGGAGCAGGUGUGCAGUUUUCCCAGCGGUGGGAUGAAGGAGGUGAGAGAGGGGGAGCCCCAGGCGGGAGCCCUUGUGGUGGAGGGCUGCCCCCAGGAGCGCCCCCUUGGAGGUGGUUUGUGGAGGUCUCUGUGCAGGUUCAGGCUGGAGGCAGGAUCCUGGCGGUGUGAGCGGGGCGCCCCUGUGGAGCAAGGGUGGAAGGUGCGUGGCAGGUCCUGUCCCGGAGGAGUGGAGUUAAGGGUCCUGGCGUGGCUGUUUUCCUGCAUGGAAGAUGUAGAUCCUGGGAGCUGCGAUGAGGAGGAGCAGAGCCAGCAGUGGCUCCUGUGUGGCGAUGGCUGCUUUGUGUGGUGCUCCUGGGCUGAAAGGAGGAGGAGAAAAAAGUUUUUAGUGUGGUUCUUCAAAGCUCAGCUGAAUUUCUGCACGGCAGCCUUUCUCGAAUGCAGUAGGGCUUCCCUGGCUUGAAGAUGGGUGUGCUGUCCUGAGGGAGGAGCAGUGUUGGCUGUCUUACAGUGACCUUCUGCUUUCCUUUAAGAAGAGUCCACUAAGAACUGUAUCGGGUUUUUCAGAGGCUGUCACUGGAACACACAGGAACAGUCAGAGCAAUUACUGAAUUGGACUGUCUGAGCUGAAAGUUGAUGGUGCAUCCCUCUGGUAGAGGGAAUGCAAAAAAGAGAGGUCUCAAAUCAGUAGUGAGUUUAUUGCUGAAGAGCAAAGAUUUGUAUCUCACCCUAAGCUGGGUGUUCUUCACUGCCACAAGCCCAGUCAUUUCACUAUACCCAUGUUCUGCCUGGUACCACUCUGACUAACAACCAGAAUGGCUGAGCAAGGAGUACUGUUUGCAGCUAGGAAGCCGAAAACAGCCAAAAAACCCUUCUGUUGCUUCCUUGUGUGUUCUGGGGGGGUGCACAGUCAGAAGAGAGCUUCCACCAUGCAUACCAGUCCUUAUAAAGUAUCUUUCCUUAUGAGCACCAGUACGGACUCCCUUUCACUGUCUCUUUUAGCUGGAGAGCUGGGCUGUGCAUCUGUGUUCCUCCAUCUACAAUGAGAAGAAAGGAUUUCCUUUUUUUUUUAAUUUUGUUGUUGUAACAAGUAACAAAUAAAAUUCAAGGGAGCUUGGCAACUGUGUUUGACUGUGAGUGGUUCCAGAAGUCUGACCUUUGUUCUUCUGUCAUUCAUAUUGAACACUGAUCCCUAGGUGCACAGUGCACAAGGAGGCUCUAACCUUCUCCAGUUUCUACACUCACUUGAAGUAAUUAUGGCCAUAGUCAUUUCCCUUCCACAUCAACAUUGGUUACUGUACUGAGCAGAUAAAUCCCUUCCCCCAAACCUAUGUGGCUGCAUGACAAACCAUGGGGACUCCAUGUGGAAAUAACAGUAAAAAUAAGCCAUCCAGGGCUAAGAGGAGGUCUUUCAAACUUGAUGUGAUAUGUCUGUUCCUCAGGGGUUCGUAUGGUCUUGUGUACUGGACACUGCAAAAAAACAGUAGCAGAAGCAGUGAAACUAAGGGAAGAGGAAGGUUUCAGAUAUCACCUUGCAAAGCUCAUUGCUCACAGCAUAAGCUCUUCAGACUACCUUGACACACGGGCCUUGGAGAAGUCAGGCACAAGCGCUUAUCCUUCUAAAUGCCUUUCCCAAGAGCUGAGACCCCACAAACUUCACACACCUAGCAAAAGCACACAGGAAUGGGUCUCCAAGGAGGAAAAGCGAGCUCGCCUGUCAGUACUGCCAGAGAAGACAGUGGUGGAGACUGUUGGGCUGAUGCCCUCUUGUGUUGUUUUAAAUGCUAGUCCGCUAAAGUAGGAUGAUCAAACAAAUGUACAUUCCUAAAGUCAUCCUCUGACUCACUGAACCCUCUUCUCUAUUUUUCCCCCUCUAAGUCAGAGUAUUUUACUUUUUUGUCCUAAACAAAAAUUAUCUAGGAAAUAUCCUUUUUGGCAGCCCAAAUUGUUAGCAGCACAGACCAUUCUCUGCUCACAGAAGCCUUAGUUCUAU
ensembl:lncRNA